UACGAAGGGGGCUAGCGUUGCUCGGAAUCACUGGGCGUAAAGGGUGCGUAGGCGGGUCUUUAAGUCAGGGGUGAAAUCCUGGAGCUCAACUCCAGAACUGCCUUUGAUACUGAAGAUCUUGAGUUCGGGAGAGGUGAGUGGAACUGCGAGUGUAGAGGUGAAAUUCGCAGAUAUUCGCAAGAACACCAGUGGCGAAGGCGGCUCACUGGCCCGAUACUGACGCUGAGGCACGAAAGCGUGGGGAGCAAACAGGG
rnacentral:rRNA from 1 species